rnacentral:rRNA from 1 species
GUGCCAGCAGCCGCGGUAAUACGUAGGUGGCAAGCGUUGUCCGGAUUUAUUGGGUGUAAAGGGAGCGCAGGCGGUGACUUAAGUCUGAUGUGAAAGCCCACGGCUCAACCGUGGAAGGUCAUUGGAAACUGGGUCACUUGAGUGCAGAAGAGGAAAGUGGAAUUCCAUGUGUAGCGGUGAAAUGCGUAGAUAUAUGGAGGAACACCAGUGGCGAAGGCGACUUUCUGGUCUGUAACUGACGCUGAGGCUCGAAAGCGUGGGGAGCAAACAGGAUUAGAU